UAGGCAAAGAUGCUUGGUUAAUUACAGUAGAAAUUAAAAUCAGCUAACUCUCAGUUCAGUCCUGUGAAUUAGGCCGACUUUUUCUACAGAAUCACUGAACUUCAGCUCAAACUUCAGAGCGCCCUCACUGAACUAGAACAACUCCGCAAAUCACGACAGCAUCAAAUGCAGCUUGUUGAUUCCAUAGUUCGUCAGCGUGAUAUGUACCGUAUUUUAUUGUCACAAACAACAGGAGUUGCCAUUCCAUUACAUGCUUCAAGCUUAGAUGAUAUUUCUCUUGCAUCAACUCCAAAACGUCCAAGUACAUCACAGACUGUUUCCACUCCUGCUCCAGUACCUGUUAUUGAAUCAACAGAGGCUAUAGAGGCUAAGGCCGCCCUUAAACAGGUAAAGAUCACACCUUUGUCCUGGGUUAGGUUUUUAGAGAACACAGUAUUACUUUCUCAUAAUCUCCAAUAUUUAGUUGCAGGAAAUUUUUGAGAACUACAAAAAAGAAAAAGCAGAAAAUGAAAAAAUACAAAAUGAGCAGCUUGAGAAACUUCAAGAACAAGUUACAGAUUUGCGAUCACAAAAUACCAAAAUUUCUACCCAGCUUGAUUUUGCUUCUAAACGUUAUGAAAUGCUGCAAGAUAAUGUUGAAGGAUAUCGUCGAGAAAUAACAUCACUUCAUGAGAGAAAUCAGAAACUCACUGCCACAACUCAAAAGCAAGAACAGAUUAUCAAUACGAUGACUCAAGAUUUGAGAGGAGCAAAUGAGAAGCUAGCUGUCGCAGAAGUAAGAGCAGAAAAUUUGAAGAAGGAAAAGGAAAUGCUUAAAUUGUCUGAAGUUCGUCUUUCUCAGCAAAGAGAGUCUUUGUUAGCUGAACAAAGGGGGCAAAACUUACUGCUAACUAAUCUGCAAACAAUUCAGGGAAUACUGGAGCGAUCUGAAACAGAAACCAAACAAAGGCUUAGUAGC
rnacentral:sRNA from 1 species